rnacentral:rRNA from 1 species
CAAGACUCCUACGGGAGGCAGCAGUGGGGGAUAUUGCACAAUGGGGGGAACCCUGAACCAGCGACGCCGCGUGAGUGAAGAAGUAUUUCGGUAUGUAAAGCUCUAUCAGCAGGGAAGAAAAUGACGGUACCUGAAGAAGAAGCCCCGGCUAACUACGUGCCAGCAGCCGCGGUAAUACGUAGGGGGCAAGCGUUAUCCGGAUUUACUGGGUGUAAAGGGGGCGCAGACGGCGAUGCAAGCCAGGAGUGAAAGCCCGGGGCCCAACCCCGGGACUGCUCUUGGAACUGCGUGGCUAUAGUGCAGGAGGGGCAGGCGGAAUUCCUGGUGUAGCGGUGAAAUGCGUAGAUAUCAGGAGGAACACCGGUGGCGAAGGCGGCCUGCUGGACUGCAACUGACGUUGAGGCCCGAAAGCGUGGGGAGCAAACAGGAUUAGAUCCCCUUGUA